GGCUAACUCCGUGCCAGCAGCCGCGGUAAUACGGAGGGUGCGAGCGUUAAUCGGAAUUACUGGGCGUAAAGCGCAUGCAGGCGGUCCGUGUUAAGUCAGAUGUAGAAAGGCCCGGGGCUUAACCUCGGAAUUGCAUUUGAAACUGGCAGGCUAGAGUCUUGUAGAGGGGGGUAGGAAUUUCAGGUGUAGCGGUGAAAUGCGUAGAGAUCUGAAGGAAUACCAGGUGGCGAAGGCCGGCCCCCGUCGGACAAAGACUGACGCUCAGAUGCGAAAGCGUGGGGAGCAAACAGGAUUAGAUACCCUGGUAG
rnacentral:rRNA from 1 species